CCUACGGGAGGCAGCAGUGAGGAAUAUUGGUCAAUGGCCGGAAGGCUGAACCAGCCAAGCCGCGUGAAGGACGAAGGUGCCCAGCAUUGUAAACUUCUUUUGUCAAGGGACAAAAUCAGGCUCGAGAGCCUGACCGAGGGUACUUGAAGAAAAAGCAUAGGCUAACUCCGUGCCAGCAGCCGCGGUAAUACGGGGGAUGCGAGGGUUAUCCGGAUUUAUUGGGUUUAAGGGGUGCGUAGGCGGACUGUUAAGUCCGCGGUAAAAGCCCGGGGCUCAACCCCGGCGAGCCGUUGAGACUGGCUGUCUAGAGAUGUCGAGAGGUAUGCGGAAUGCGCAGUGUAGCGGUGAAAUGCUUAGAUAUUGCGCAGAACUCCGGUUGCGAAGGCAGCAUACCGGCGACGAUCUGACGCUGAGGCACGAAAGCGUGGGGAUCGAACAGGAUUAGAUACCCGAGUAGUC
rnacentral:rRNA from 1 species